rnacentral:misc_RNA from 1 species
AGAAUCUUCUCGAAGCUUAUCUCUCUCGAUAAAACUAAACCCUGAUACCAUCGCCUCUACUCUCGAAGUCGCCUCCCCUCCUUAUACGCGUACAUACCAACACGCUUGAACCACAAAAACCCUACUUUCUCACUGGGUGAUUCUGGAAAUGGCAACUUCUAAUGCUGUCUCCUCAGCUUCAAUUCUUUGCUCUCCUAAACAGUGGAGCUUGAGGAGGAGACUGAAUCAACAGCAGAAUCAAAGGCUGAAUUAUGGGCAAUCAGUCAGAAGAUUCACAGUGCGAGCUAAUGCCAAAGAUAUUGCCUUUGACCAGAACUCAAGGACUGCACUUCAGGCAGGCAUUGAUAAGCUUGCUGAUGCUGUUGGGCUUACUCUUGGUCCUAGGGGGAGAAAUGUUGUCUUGGAUGAGUUUGGAAGUCCCAAGGUAGUCAAUGAUGGGGUAACAAUUGCUAGAGCUAUUGAGUUACCUGAUCCCAUGGAGAAUGCUGGUGCAGCUCUGAUAAGGGAGGUUGCAAGUAAAACUAAUGAUUCUGCUGGUGAUGGAACAACAACUGCAUCAGUCCUUGCACGGGAAAUAAUCAAACUAGGGCUUUUAAGUGUCACCUCUGGUGCCAACCCAGUCUCAAUAAAAAGAGGGAUUGAUAAAACUGUACAGGGUCUGAUAGAAGAGCUCGAAAAUAAGGCUAGACCUGUUAAAGGUCGUGAUUACAUCAAAGCUGUUGCUACCAUUUCUGCUGGAAAUGAUGAGCUUAUUGGGACAAUGGUUGCUGAUGCAAUUGACAAGGUUGGGCCUGAUGGUGUUUUGUCAAUUGAGUCAUCAUCCUCAUUUGAGACAACAGUAGAAGUUGAGGAAGGAAUGGAGAUAGACAGAGGCUAUAUUUCCCCUCAGUUUGUAACGAAUCCUGAAAAGCUAAUUUGUGAAUUUGAGAAUGCAAGAGUGUUGAUUACGGAUCAAAAAAUAUCAGCAAUCAAGGACAUAAUUCCCCUACUAGAGAAGACCACUCAAUUGAGAGCACCUUUGCUCAUAAUUGCUGAGGAUGUUACCGGGGAGGCAUUGGCUACACUUGUUGUAAACAAGCUGCGAGGUAUCCUUAAUGUUGCUGCCAUCAAAGCUCCUGGAUUUGGUGAGCGGAGAAAAGCUAUGCUUCAAGACAUUGCCAUUUUGACAGGAGCCGAGUUCCAAGCCAGUGAUCUGGGUUUGCUUAUUGAAAAUACAUCAAUCGAGCAGCUUGGUUUGGCCAGGAAAGUGACCAUAACCAAGGAUGCCACCACAAUUAUUGCAGAUGUUGCAUCUAAGGAUGAGUUACAAGCUAGGAUUGCACAGUUGAAAAAGGAGUUGUCUGAGACAGAUUCUGUUUAUGACUCGCAGAAGCUUGCUGAGAGAAUUGCCAAAUUGUCUGGUGGGGUUGCUGUUGUCAAAGUGGGGGCUGCAACAGAGACUGAGCUUGAAGACCGUAAACUUCGAAUUGAGGAUGCCAAGAAUGCAACAUUUGCUGCUAUAGAAGAAGGUAUUGUGCCUGGUGGUGGUACUGCAUUGGUUCAUCUCUCAACUCACGUUCCUGCAAUUAAGGACAAGAUUGAACAUGCAGAGGAGCAGUUAGGUGCUGAUAUUGUGCAGAAGGUAAUAGUUAUUUAUUUUUAUAGGUGUCUGAUAUUGAAAUUAUGUUUCUAAAUUAUAACAAAGGAAAUCUAGUUGCCAGACCUGGUAGGCCAAAAAUGAGCUCUUGGAUGAUUUUAUUACAGGAUUAGGAGUGGGUUAUAUAUACUUUCUGUAUCCUCUCCAAGGGUUGUGAGCUACUUUAAUUAAUCGUUUUGUUUAGUUUGCCUGUAUUGACUUAAUGUGUUUGCAUGUAGGCCCUGGUAGCACCAGCAUCAUUGAUAGCUCAAAAUGCCGGAAUUGAGGGUGAAGUGGUUGUGGAAAAGAUAAAGGCCGGCGAAUGGGAGGUUGGUUAUAAUGCCAUGACAGACAAGUAUGAGAACUUGGUGGAGGCUGGAGUUAUUGACCCAGCUAAGGUGACAAGAUGUGCUCUGCAGAAUGCAGCAUCAGUUGCUGGGAUGGUCCUGACCACUCAGGCAAUUGUGGUGGAAAAGCCUAAGCCUAAGUCACCAGCACCUGCUGCUCCGCAAGGUCUAACAGUGUGAUCACAGGAAAUUUUAGCACUAGUUAGGAUUUUCAAGUUGAUGUCUGAGUGUUUUGUGUUGGUGAGUGACGAUUAACAACGCCGGAUCUCCAUGCCCCUUUUUGGACAGAUUGAUAUGUUAUUGAUAAAUUGCAUUAAUGUCCCAUCUUUGAAGUGUGCAGGGAUUCAUAAUGUUGUUUUCUUUUCUGAUGUACUAUUGUUUCACUCUUUGGGCAAAUAUGAAUUGGAAAUUACAAUGAUGCAGAAUUCAGAACUAAAUCUUCAACUGGCAAGCAUUUUUAAUCUUUGAACUCUCUUUGGUUGAAUUUUCUAGCAUUUUAUAGCUUACAACAGCCGGAUACCGUGAGUAUUUGAAGAACAGAUUUGAUUUCUCUGUAGUGUUGUGGCUUCUUAUACUUCAUUCAGC